rnacentral:rRNA from 1 species
AUUGAACGCUGGCGGCAUGCCUUACACAUGCAAGUCGAACGGCAGCACGGACUUCGGUCUGGUGGCGAGUGGCGAACGGGUGAGUAAUAUAUCGGAACAUACCUUGUAGUGGGGGAUAACUAUCCGAAAGGAUAGCUAAUACCGCAUACGCUCUAAGGAGGAAAGUGGGGGAUCGCAAGACCUCAUGCUAUAAGAGUGGCCGAUAUCUGAUUAGCUAGUUGGUGAGGUAAAGGCUCACCAAGGCGACGAUCAGUAGCUGGUCUGAGAGGACGACCAGCCACACUGGAACUGAGACACGGUCCAGACUCCUACGGGAGGCAGCAGUGGGGAAUUUUGGACAAUGGGGGCAACCCUGAUCCAGCAAUGCCGCGUGAGUGAAGAAGGCCUUCGGGUUGUAAAGCUCUUUUGUCAGGGAAGAAACGGUUGUGGCUAAUAUCCAUGGCUAAUGACGGUACCUGAAGAAUAAGCACCGGCUAACUACGUGCCAGCCGCCGCCGUAA